AAGUGGUAGGAAGCCGAAAGGUGACGACCCUUCGGGGAGCUUGCACAGGUGCUGCAUGGCUGUCGUCAGCUCGUGUCGUGAGAUGUUCGGUUAAGUCCGCUAACGAGCGCAACCCUCGCUGUGUGUUAUAUGUGUCACACGGGACUGCCGGUCUUAAGCCGGAGGAAGGUGGGGAUGAUGUCAAGUCAGCAUGGCCUUUAUAUCCUGGGCUACACACACGCUACAAUGGCCAACACAAUAGGUUGCUAAGCCGCGAGGUGGCGCCAAUCCAUAAAGUUGGUCUCAGUUCAGAUUGUAGGCUGCAACCCGCCUGCAUGAAGAUGGAGUUGCUAGUAACCGCAGGUCAGCAAUACUGCGGUGAAUACGUUCCCGGGUCUU
rnacentral:rRNA from 1 species